GGAUAGGAGAACAACCUGGCUGUGACAUCUGUCACUAUCUGUCACUCUGGGUUGAUUAAACUGGUCUGGCUAGCUAAGCAGUGCCUCCCCCCCCCCCCCUCUCUCAUUGCUCCCUGGGUAUCCCUGCUGAAGGGACACACUUGGUCAGUGAAGUAGGCCUUCCCCAAUAGAUGAGGGUCAUUCUUCAAUCAAGAGCAUAAGAGAAGCUACUCCCUGCUGGAACCCUGAGUAGCUCUCAAGAAAGUCCCAUGAAGGAUCUUCUAAUUCUAAUUCAGAUCUCUCU
rnacentral:snRNA from 1 species